GAUGAAGAACGUAGCGAAAUGCGAUAAGUAGUGUGAAUUGCAGAAUUCAGUGAAUCAUCGAAUCUUUGAACGCACAUUGCGCCCAUUAGUAUUCUAGUGGGCAUGCCUGUUCGAGCGUCAUUAAGUCCACUUAAGCCCUGCUUAGUGUUGGGAGACUGCUCCAGCGGUGCUACCCUGUAGCUACCCUGCAGCUCCUCAAAGACAGCGGCGGAGUUGUGGUAUCCUCUGAGCUUAGUAACUUGUUCUAGCUUUCGAGUACACCACUUCCCCUGCCGUAAAACCCUUAAUUUUUAAUGGUUGACCUCGGAUCAGGUAGGAAUACCCGCUGAACUUAAGCAUAUCAAUAAGCGGAGA
rnacentral:misc_RNA from 1 species